rnacentral:rRNA from 1 species
CCUACGGGUGGCAGCAGUGAGGAAUAUUGGUCAAUGGACGCAAGCCUGAACCAGCCAAGCCGCGUGCAGGAAGACGGUUCUAUGAGUCGUAAACUGCUUUUGUACGAGGGCAAACGCAGAUACUCGUAUCCGUCUGCAAGUAUCUGACGAAAAAGGAUCGGCUAACUCCGUGCCAGCAGCCGCGGUAAUACGGAGGAUUCAAGCGUUAUCCGGAUUUAUUGGGUUUAAAGGGUGCGUAGGCGGUCUGGUAAGUCAGAGGUGAAAUCCCGAGGCUCAACUUCGGAAUUGCCUUUGAUACGGUCCGGCUCGAGAGUAGUUGCGGUAGGCGGAAUGUACGGUGUAGCGGUGAAAUGCUUAGAGAUCGUGCAGAACACCGAUUGCGAAGACAGCUUGCCAAGCUAAUUCUGACGUUGAGGCACGAAAGCGUGGGGAGCAAACAGGAUUAGAUACCCCAGUAGUC